CGGGUAUCAUGGGACAGCGAUCCUGGCCUGCAGGGAGAAAGCAGAGGGGCACCUACAGAGUAUGUCUCACUGGACCAUGAGCAGCCUGGUGAGGUGACACCCUGGUUGCAGUGUGACACCGAGCUGUCACCUCCCACCGCCUGCAUCGCACCUCUGCCCCCUGCUGGGACGAACCCGCCACGGCACCCGGACACCAGGACGCCCCGCCGGUCCUCCUCAUCAUCAUCCUCCUCCUCCUCCUCCUCUGCUGGCGUCAGACCUCAACUUUACAUUCUGUCACGCACUCAGUCAAACUCCUCGACAAGAAUCUCGGUAACUGUGUCUUUCUCACUUCGUCUCUUUAAAAGACGGUCAGUUUAUUUUGAAACGCCUCCUUGGCAGUGACCCCUACUCACAGGCUGGAUGGAUGGCACUGGAAACAGUGGCCCAAAUGUACUCAUUUUAAGUUGCAGACAUUAUUCUGAUGAGAUGUGUUCACGUAGUGUUGCUGAUAAUUACACCAACUUGAAUGUUUUGUGAAGUUUAAACUCAAAUUUCUUUCGUUAAUUGAUUUAAAACUAAAUUUAAGUUGUAUUAAAUGAAUUAAACUGG